GGCUACCUUUUGUUCCCAGGGUAGUGUACAGUUAAAGAAAUUGAAGAAGGGGUGGAGAUCAAACACACCCUUUCUAAAUAAGUAAGGCGUGCUUCAUCAUCACACAGAUGGUAUUGUUGCCUUUGGAAGGUUUAAGGGAAGAAGGUCUGAAGGAAGAGAUGAUCAUGUAGAUGCCAACAGCCUGGGUGCAGCAUAAUGGGAAACGGUGAAUGGGGUGGAACUGGUCUGCAACCUUGAAAGCAGCCAUUCUGUGGACAGAGACACAUCAGUCAUUCCUCGCUUUCUCAACUGUUCUUACUGGCGGCAUAAAGUGGAUUCGUUCUACUGUUUAGGCCAGAACUUGAGUUUCCACCCUUGCAAAUUUUCGAGCUGCAUACAACGCAGUGUGGAGCAAUACCAUCCGCAACAAUGGGUGACAUGACAAAUAGCGAUUUUUAUUCAAAGAACCAAAGAAAUGAGGCCAAUCAUGCAGGAGAAUUUGGGUGCACGCUUCUGGAUCUGCGCUCCCUCAUGGAACUUCGAGGAACAGAAGCAGUAGUAAAAAUUAAAGAGACAUAUGGGGACACUGAGGGCCUCUGCAGACACUUGAAAACAUCGCCAAUAGAAGGAUUGCCUGGCACUGCUGCUGACUUAGAUAAAAGAAAGCUAAUUUUUGGGAAAAACUUUAUACCUCCAAAGAAGCCAAAAACUUUCUUACAGUUAGUCUGGGAAGCAUUACAGGAUGUGACUCUUAUCAUUUUGGAAAUAGCAGCCAUCAUAUCUCUUGGGCUCUCAUUUUACCAUCCACCUGGAGAGGAAAAUGAAGCCUGUGCUACUGCAUCAGGAGGAGCUGAAGAUGAAGGAGAGGCAGAAGCUGGUUGGAUUGAAGGUGCUGCCAUUCUGCUCUCUGUUAUUUGUGUGGUACUUGUCACUGCCUUUAAUGACUGGAGCAAAGAGAAGCAAUUCCGUGGGCUUCAAAGUCGUAUUGAGCAAGAACAGAAGUUCACUGUGGUCCGGGGUGGACAAGUUAUUCAAAUCCCAGUAGCAGAGAUAGUAGUUGGCGACGUUGCACAGAUAAAAUAUGGUGACCUUCUACCUGCUGAUGGGGUGUAUAUUCAAGGAAAUGACCUUAAGAUUGAUGAAAGCUCUUUAACUGGAGAAUCAGAUCAAGUCCGCAAAUCUGUUGACAAAGAUCCAAUGCUGCUUUCGGGUACACAUGUCAUGGAAGGUUCUGGAAGAAUGGUUGUUACUGCUGUGGGAGUUAAUUCUCAAACAGGGAUCAUCUUUACUCUGCUAGGCGCUGGUGAAGACGAGGAGAAGAAAGAUAAGAAAGGUGUGAAACGGGAGAAUGGACAUCAGCCUCCAGUAGAUUCUUCCCAUACCUCCUUCCAUCCUCCUUCAACUACAGAUGGGGCAGCAGGUGCAAAUGCCACUGAUAAUGCAAAUGCCAGCUUAGUCAAUGGCAAAAUGCAGGAUGGGAAUAUGGAGAACAACCAGAAUAAAGCCAAACAGCAGGAUGGUGCUGCUGCAAUGGAGAUGCAGCCGCUGAAGAGUGCUGAAGGCGGAGAUGGAGAUGAUAAAGACAAGAGGAAAGCUAACAUGCAUAAGAAAGAAAAAUCUGUUCUUCAAGGGAAGCUGACUAAAUUGGCUGUCCAGAUAGGGAAAGCAGGUUUGGUGAUGUCUGCCAUCACCGUCAUCAUCUUAGUAUUAUACUUCACUGUUGAAAACUUCGUAGUCAGCAAGAAGCCGUGGCUGCCUGAAUGCACACCUAUCUAUGUUCAGUAUUUUGUUAAGUUCUUCAUAAUUGGUGUUACUGUGCUUGUAGUUGCUGUUCCGGAAGGACUUCCACUUGCUGUUACUAUUUCCCUCGCAUACUCUGUAAAGAAAAUGAUGAAAGAUAACAAUCUGGUCCGUCAUUUGGAUGCGUGUGAGACGAUGGGUAAUGCUACAGCCAUCUGCUCUGAUAAAACAGGGACAUUAACCACCAACCGGAUGACAGUAGUACAAGCGUACGUUGGAGAUGCCCAUUACAAAGAGAUCCCCGACCCAGAUACCAUUCCAGCCAAAAUUCUGGAUGUGCUGGUUAAUGCAAUUGCCAUCAACAGCGCUUACACUUCAAAAGUUCUGCCACCAGACAAGGAUGGUGGUCUACCUCGCCAGGUUGGCAACAAGACAGAGUGUGGAUUGCUGGGGUUUGUCUUGGACCUAAAGCAGGAUUACCAGCCUGCCCGGAAUCAAAUGCCUGAAGAGAAGCUCUACAAAGUAUACACAUUUAACUCUGUGAGAAAAUCAAUGAGUACUGUCAUCAAAAUGCCAGAUGAAAGUUUCCGAAUGUACAGCAAAGGAGCUUCUGAAAUUGUCCUAAAGAAGUGUUCUAAGAUUCUUAAUGCAGCUGGCGAGCCUCGCAUCUUCAGACCUCGUGAUCGGGAUGAGAUGGUAAAGAAAGUGAUUGAACCUAUGGCCUGUGAUGGAUUGAGAACUAUCUGUGUUGCUUACCGAGACUUCCCCGGCAGCCCUGAACCAGACUGGGAGGAUGAAAACGACAUUCUAUCUGACCUGACCUGCAUUUGUGUGGUUGGCAUAGAAGACCCUGUAAGACCAGAGGUCCCAGAAGCCAUAAGAAAGUGUCAGCGAGCAGGAAUUACAGUCCGUAUGGUCACAGGGGACAACAUCAAUACAGCUCGUGCUAUUGCAAUAAAGUGUGGGAUAAUUCACCCUGGAGAAGAUUUCCUCUGCAUCGAGGGGAAAGAGUUUAACCGAAGGAUCCGAAAUGAGAAAGGAGAUAUUGAACAGGAACGCAUUGACAAGAUCUGGCCAAAACUUCGUGUCCUUGCUCGUUCAUCUCCCACUGAUAAGCACACUUUAGUCAAAGGUAUUAUUGACAGCACUCAAGUGGAGCAGAGGCAGGUUGUAGCGGUGACUGGUGAUGGAACUAAUGAUGGACCGGCACUUAAGAAAGCUGAUGUUGGCUUUGCAAUGGGUAUUGCAGGAACUGAUGUCGCAAAGGAAGCCUCAGAUAUUAUCCUGACCGACGAUAACUUUAGUAGCAUUGUGAAAGCUGUAAUGUGGGGUCGUAAUGUCUAUGACAGUAUUUCCAAGUUCCUGCAGUUCCAGCUCACAGUAAAUGUGGUGGCCGUGAUCGUUGCUUUCACUGGAGCUUGCAUUACCCAGGACUCUCCUUUAAAAGCUGUACAGAUGCUAUGGGUCAAUCUGAUUAUGGACACCUUUGCCUCUCUUGCUUUGGCUACGGAACCUCCUACAGAGUCGUUGCUGCUAAGGAAACCAUAUGGCCGAAACAAGCCUCUUAUCUCCCGUACUAUGAUGAAGAACAUUUUGGGCCAUGCUGUGUACCAGCUCACUCUCAUUUUUACCCUCCUUUUUGUUGGUGAAAAAAUGUUCGAGAUUGACAGUGGCAGGAAUGCACCACUCCACUCUCCGCCUUCUGAGCACUACACCAUCAUCUUCAAUACCUUUGUUAUGAUGCAGCUAUUCAAUGAAAUCAACGCACGCAAAAUCCAUGGUGAAAGGAAUGUUUUUGAUGGCAUCUUUAGAAACCCUAUAUUUUGCACUAUUGUACUGGGCACAUUUGUUGUGCAGAUAGUAAUUGUACAGUUUGGUGGCAAACCUUUUAGCUGUUCCCCUUUGGAGCUUGACCAGUGGAUGUGGUGUGUGUUUAUUGGAUUAGGUGAACUUGUAUGGGGUCAGAUCAUUGCAACUAUCCCAACGAGUAGGCUAAAAUUUUUAAAGGAGGCAGGAGGUCUUACAUUUAAAGAAGAGUCGCCCCAAGAGGAGAUGAAUGAAGAUGUAGAAGAAAUUGACCACGCAGAAAGAGAACUUCGGCGUGGGCAAAUCCUCUGGUUCCGGGGGCUCAAUAGAAUACAGACCCAGAUCGAAGUAGUCAAUACUUUCAAGAGUGGCACUUCCUUUCAGGGGGCUCUCAGGAGACAAUCCUCCGUCACAAGCCAGAACCAGGAUGUAACCAAUAUUUCUAGCCCUAGCCACGUUUCGUUAUCCAAUGCUCUUUCCUCUCCUACCAGCACAACUGCUGCGGCGGCUGGGCGUGAGUGUGUAUUCUUAAUGCAUCUGAUUACAGAGAUGCCAACUUAUCUAGCAGUCAUUCAAGACUGGGCCAUUCAAGAUUAUGUCCCUUUCCCACCUCUUAUAUUCCAGAAUAAGUCAUAUAGUUGAAAUACUGGCACACCACAGUGGGACUCUUCCUUACAGGUCUCCGUUUUCAGAAAUAGGGUGUGCCUCUAUAAAGCUACCUCCUAUGGAAUGAAUACCAAUUUCUUUUUAAAUGAAAAUAUCUCUAUAGGAUAAAUCUCCUCUGAACAGUUCACAUGUUCACAUUUCUUCUUAGAUUGUAAACUGCAUCUCCUGUUGCCUCAUCUUUCCAAGGCUGCUUUGCUUUAUAAAAUAUUGGACUAUAUUUUAUGAAGACAACACUUGAAAACACAUAAAACAGGAAUCUUCUCACACAUGCUCCGAGAUAGUAAAUUGUUCUAUUAAAUCUAUUAUCACGCCCAUUUCUUUAAUACUGUUAUCUAUGCAGUUCACUACUGAAUACUUCCGGUUGUAACCAGUGUUGUGCCUCCACUAACGGAAGACUUGGAAGACUCUUUGGUCCAGUGCAGGCUUUUAUCGGUGGAACAGGGAAGGAGACUAUUUUUGCCAACUUACUUCCCACCCCUGCAACCCCCCCCCCAAACAACGACACUGUUCCAAAGUUCCCCAAACCCCCUGCAGGGAGGAGGGUGAACAUAAACUUAAUUCUCCUUUCUGAGGAUGAAAGCUAUUGUUAGAUCAAAGAGCCUUCCAUCUUUGGAUACAAUCCUAUUCAAAUAAAUAGCAAACAUUAUACCCUGUAAAAAAAAACCUAUAAAUAAUCAACAACCAAAUUAAGAUGUAAAGAAUUUCCUAUGUGUGCACCAUCCCUAAAUGUAUUCCAUCAGUGAAGAGUAACGUAAUAGAUGCUAAAUAUUUAGGUUUGGUAACUAUUAGGAUUUAAUUAGAACUUGUUCGUUAUAACUGGGAUGUGUUCUAAGACAGUCUCAGUGUGCAUUAUAACCAAGUAAUGUAAGGGGUUUGAGGUGUUUAAUUAGUUUUUAUGUGUAAACACUUUCUAUCAAACCUUGAGAAUGUAAUCAAGAUUCAUGUGUAUUGGAAGAUGUGUGUGUGGACCUACUUCUGAACACCAGCAAUUAGUAUCUGAAGAGUUAAUUAACCUAGGUAAACAUCCUAAGUGUAUAUCAGCCUUUAAUCCUAGUCAAUCAACUAGUACUGAUGAAGUCAAACAAACUCCUUUGUUAGGUGAGCCUGGGGGAAUUAACCAUUAGUACUUCAGCGCAUCAAAAGUUCUAGCCAUUAGAAUGUGAAUGAGUAAGGCGGCAAAUAAAUUAGUAGAAAUAAUAAUAUAAUAAAUAAUUUCAUUAUUUAUAUUCCAUCCAUCUGAAUGGGUUGCCCCAGUCACUCUGGGCAGCUCCCAACAAAAUAUUAAAAACACAAUAAAACAUAAACCAUUAAAAGAUGGUACAAGGAAGCAGACAAGGAAUUACCGGUAUGCUUGCAUGUGCCCUGGAGACCAAGAUAGCCUGCUGAUCAAAAAGGAGGCUGGUGAUUCUGCCGUAAGGAUAAGGUGGCGUUUUGAGGUACUGCUGCUGUGCAGUCCUCCAUCAAAGGCUAAAUGUUGUAUAUAUGUGUAAAAUAAACCAUAUAUCUUAAAACACUACAGCCUCUCCUGUGUCUGAACUCCCAACGGAAACACGGUCCUGGGUCACCCCCCAGGGGGCCCUGGAAUCUUGCUACCGCUCAGCAAAUAUUGGGGUGGCAUGUAACACUGGUGUCAGAAGUGGGUUCACAUACACACAAUCCAGUACACAUGGAUCUUGAUCACAUUUUCAAGGUCUGAUACAGGCUUUACACAUAAACACGAAUUAAACAUUUCAAACCCAUUACAGCAUCAUAAUCAUUAUUUUAUUUAAAUCUGUUUAUUAUUAUUUUUAUUAUUAUUAUUUGACCUACCUUUAUCCUGACAGAGACUUUCAGCAACACACAUUAAAAGCAAUAAAAACCUAAAAACAGAGCUACACAGGCAGAACCUACAGCUCUCACCCACUAAAGGAAGCCACAAUGCCACCCUUCAAAUUAAGCCAAAAGAACAGGUAAAGAGAAAAGUAUUUGCCUGGCACCUAAAAUAUAUAGAAAGAUAAUAAUAACUUUAUUAUUUGUCCCCUACCCAUCUGACUGGGUUGCCCCAGUCAUUCUGGGCGACUUCCAACAUAUAUAAUAGCAUAAUAAAACAUUCUACAUUAAAAGACUUUCCUAUACAGGGUGUGCCUCUGUGGGAGAGUUUCCACAAGUGGGCAACCACUGAUAAUAUUAAUUUGGUAAAUAUGUGCCUUUAACAAAACUACUAGAGUUACAAUAAGAUUGCUUCCCUUGCCAGCUAUUGCUUUCACAUUAUCUGUGGUAACUGAACAAGUAUAAAACUUGCAUGCAUAGUCACAUGAAAGUUGUUAUCCCAUGGUUAUUAUUUUUCUGCAAUUGCAUUUAACUACAUUUUUAAACCACUUAAACAUUUAUAAAGAGUUUUGAGGCAAAAAAGAAAUAGUUAUGUAUGCAUGUUAGAACCUUUGACUGUUUUUUUUAACCAGAUUGCACUAAAAAAUAUUGGGCAAGACUCAAAUUCACACCACCACGUGCAGCUUCACUUUUCCUUUCUCUGCUUUUCUGCAGCGCCAGCCCCAUUCUUCUCGGGGGGGGGGGGCGUCUGCAACUCUCUGGCUAGAAGGAGAGAAAGGAUAAGUCCUGUUUGUGUGAACAGAAGUCUGUCAUGCAAGUGGGCUGCUGUAGUUGAAUAUCAGCAAACCAUUCUAUGCAACUAGCUGGUCAUAUGUUCCAGUAACUUUAAAAAGCGUGCAGGAACCAGUAUAUAGGAUAUGAAACCCAAAGAACUGCAUACACCAUCCUUCCAUGCUACUGCCACUGCGACUGAUACUCCUGCUGUAGCUGGCAUUGGAAGCUAACUCUACUUGCAGACUCGGAGCAUGUAAAAAUUGCACAUUUUUCUUCCACCUGUCAUUUAAUCUCCUUUAUCCUUCUCUUCUAACUUAUUAAAAGAUAACUUGCUGCUGCUUUAGUUUUAAAAUUUUAGCUAAGAGGUAUCACUAUAUAUAUAUUGUAACGCUACAUUUUCAAAAUUAGAUUUGGAGUCCCAUUUCCUGUAAAAUAUUUUGGUUAGGUUGUUGGUUGUGCAAAGCCAUACCAAUGUGUGAUAUUAUAAGCUGAACAUUGCAGUGACGUUGUUUUGGGGGGUUGGAGAGGCUUUAAACAUAUUGCUAAUUUUGAACUCCAUUAGCUAAGAUGCAGGGUUUUUUGUUUUAAAAACAAUCUUCCACCACGGAGAAAAAGGAGAGAGCUUUUACUUCUCUUGAUAGUCCUUCUAGCAUUAAAAAGAAGACAAUAACAUUAUGGGACACUGACCCACAGACCCUCUACGCUUUGUAUCUCUCAUCCCAGUAGUAUUUUCCUCCCCCACUUUAUUUUCUUUUUGGAAGGAGGAAAGGGGUUUUGGAAGUGAGCAUAAAUGCUAUUGAUGUACAUUUACACACACCAAGUUUCCGUAUGCUCUGGCUUCCAUCACAGUGUCCCAUUAUGCCAGAAGCGUUUUAGACAUUCUGGCCACAUGACCCGGAAAGCUGUCUGUGGAUGAACGCCAGCUCCCUUGGCUUGAAAGCAGAGUUGAGCACCACACCCCAUAGUUGAUUUUGACUAGACUUAACUGUCCAGGGGUCCUUUACCACACCAAGCAAAGCACUGAGUUAGUGAGUCUGUGAGUGGACCCCAUCCUAUCACUAAGUAAUGCACAAUUCAUUGUUUCCCAUGAAAUUCUAGCAAACAGUGAUUAUAUAAUCUGCAUUGUUUUUUCAUUCUUUUUGAAAUAUGUUGAGAGUGGAAGGAUUAUUUUUCUAUACUAAUGGCACUUGUCUGAACUACUACUUCCAUAUGAUGCUCAUGCCAUUGCUGUGGUGUAUUGGCUUGAAAAUGUGCCCCCAGAUGUUGCUGUAGCUUUAAAUACAGCACCUACACAGUGAUGCCAGUUCAUGAAAACACCCUGUGUACAUUACUGUACUCUCGAAGUCCUCUUGCUGAUGUGCAAUUGAGGGUGAAAUGGCCCUGAAUAUUUUCAGUGCUCUGAACUUAUUUCAAAAUGAAGAGAAAUCUGACUACAGUUAAGUCAACAUAAGACUUGCCUUUGCACAACCACAUCCUUAACUAAAAAUAGAAGCAGUUAAACCUAAGAGUUGGCAUCUCUUGGCAAAACGGACUUCAUGUUUACAUUUAUAAACUAACCUCCUUACUGUCCUUUCAAUAAAAUUGCAAUAUUUACUUUUGUAGUGCCCAACUCUCUACUUUCUGAAUAUUAAAUGUGUUUGUUUUCCCAGAGGGCUAGAGAUCACUGGACAAAAGGGUUCAGCAGGAGAGAGUGAAAUAAAAAGAGAUCCGCGUCGUGAAGGCAUUCCGUAGCUCUCUCUAUGAAGGGUUAGAAAAACCAGAAUCUAGAACCUCCAUUCACAACUUUAUGACUCAUCCUGAAUUUAGGAUAGAAGAUUCCCAGCCCCAUAUCCCUCUCAUUG